ensembl:lncRNA
GGUGCCCCGCGGACCUCGUGCCCAGCCUGUGUCCGAGUGACGCCAGGGAGGCCGCUCCUCAGUGCUUAAGACAUUCAGAGGACACUAGAAAAGGAGAAAGGCCAAAUUAAAAAGAAAACAAACUGCCAGCAACUCUAGUUCUUUUUUUCCCUGUGAGAACACUGUCAGCCCACUGUGGAACUGAAAUUCCAUAGCAUGAAGAAAUUUAAGUUGAUUUUAUGUAUCAUAAAGUUUAUGAAAAGACUCUUCACAGGUUCUAUAGCUGUCAACGGAAAAGUGUCACCUGCCAGAACAGUAAACAAUGGAUGUUACAGUCAUCAAGCCACUACAGACACUCCAGCGGGGCACCCUGAGGGGACUCAGGAGGAGAAAGCACCAGACACUGGCCCCAGAUGGCUGAGGGGCACAUCAAAGGAAUGACUUCUGUGAGCCAGACUCUUGCAUCUUCCUUUACACAGAAAAGUGCAAAAUUCCUUACUCUGAGAUGUCCGGUUUUCUUAACAGUAAUCCCUUGAUGUUCUAACUACCUGGUCUUUGUUGCAAAAACUCCUGUGUGUCCUGGCUCCUCCCUUACCUCUCUGGGGCAGUUCUUUAGGGUAGCUGUCCCCAGCCAUUUUGGUCCCAGUGACUGGUU